GACGACCGCUUGCGUCGUGCUUACCACAUGCAAGUCCAACGGGCAGGCCCUGCUUUUUUAGGGUGCUCGGGUUGCGAUCGGUUGCAUAGCGCUGGAGUGACCUUCCUGUCACUUUGCGGUUACGUCUGUUAACUGGGGCUGAUACCGGCUCGGAGCUCCUGCUGCAUUCUGGCGGUUGGGCAGUUUCGGCGGUGGGGGUUGGACUCUCGGCUUAUCAGCUUGUUGGUGGGGUAGUGGGUUACCAAGGCUUUGAAGGGUAGCGGGCCUGAGAGGGUGACCGGCCACAUUGGGACUGAGAUACGGAACAGAAUCCUACGGGAGGCAGCAGUGGGGAAUAUUGCAUAAUGGGGGGAAGCCUGAUGAAGCAACGCCGGGGGCGGGAUGAAGGCCUUCGGGUUGUAAACCGCUGUCGCCUGUGACGAAGCGUGAGUGACGGUAAUGGGUAAAGAAGAAACGGCUAACUACGUG
rnacentral:rRNA from 1 species